rnacentral:rRNA from 1 species
AGAAUCAACGCUGGCGGCGUGCCUAACACAUGCAAGUCGAACGAGAAAGUGGUAGCAAUACCAUGAGUAAAGUGGCGCACGGGUGAGUAACACGUGACUAACCUACCCUGGAGUGGGGGAUAACUGAGGGAAACCUUAGCUAAUACCGCAUAACACCUACGGGUCAAAGGAGCAAUUCGCUUAAGGAGGAGGUCGCGGCUGAUUAGCUAGUUGGCGGGGUAAUGGCCCACCAAGGCUUAGAUCGGUAGCCGGCCUGAGAGGGCGCACGGCCACACUGGAACUGAAACACUGUCCAGACUCCUACGGGAGGCAGCAGUGGGGAAUUUUGCGCAAUGGGGGAAACCCUGACGCAGCAACGCCGCGUGGAGGAUGAAGUCCCUUGGGACGUAAACUCCUUUCGACCCGGACGAUAAUGACGGUACGGUGGAAGAAGCCCCGGCUAACUUCGCGCCAGCAGCCGC